CAAAUAAUAUCUGGUCAGUUGUGUGUUGGAAUACAGAAGGGCUGGGGGACCAAGUGUUCUGGGUGGUAUGCUGACCUGAUAAAACAGAAUGCAUGUAGAUACAAUAAAGAAUGGGGUCCAAAAGUCUGAUCCAAAAUUGAAGAAAAAAAAAGUUUUUGAAUUGUGAAAUAUUUCAAACAAAGAAAACUAAUAUUUGAGAUCUUGAAUAUUCAAGAUACUCGACGAUUUCUAGAUCCGUAUUUAAGUGCAAGGCAAUUACUAAAAAACUCUGAAAUUCAUCUAAAUGUUUCAAAGAUUCUCUUUCCCAAUUGAAGUUAUUGUCAGGAAUAUAAUUUGCAAUCUCAUCUCCCCAUCUCAUUAUCUCUAGCCGCUUUAUCCUGUUCUACAGGGUCGCAGGCAAGCUGGAGCCUGUCCCAGCUGACUACGGGCGAAAGGCAGGGUACACCCUGGACAAGUCGCCAGGUCAUCACAGGGCUGACACAUAGACACAGACAACCAUUCACACUCACAUUCACACCUACAGUCAAUUUAGAGUCACCAGUUAACCUAACCUGCAUGUCUUUGGACUGUGGGGGAAACCGGAGCACCCGGAGGAAACCCACGCGGACACGGGGAGAACAUGCAAACUCCACACAGAAAGGCCCUUGCCGGCCACGGGGCUCGAACCCGGACCUUCUUGCUGUGAGGCGACAGCGCUAACCACUGCACCACCAUGCCACCGCAAUGAAAAAUCCUGAAUUAAAUUAAAAAAGAAUGCAAAAUACAAGCAUUUCCACUCAUGGUCUCAGACUUUUGGAUUCCACUGUUGGAGCAUUUAAUUGUCUUGCAAUUCACUGGACAUGUUGAUACUGUAUAUUAGUGUCUGUUUUUUAUGUCAAGCUUGUCUUUAGAUUAUGUGCAAGUGAUACUUCAUUGAUGUGCUCUUGCAGAGCCCACAACUCCAACUCCAACUUCAACAACGAUGACCAGUACGAGCGCCCCAACAACGCCAAGCUUUGUCAUCAGUUCCACACAGUGUAAUAAUGGUUUCAUGGUGUUUGUGUCUGUGUGGCUCUUUGAAGUCAUCAUCCUGCUGUCACUGUUAGUGGGAGCGUUUUAUAUUUACACCAGAAUCUACAGGAAGCAGAGAAUAACUGAGAAUUAGGAUCAGGAAGCUCUGUAAACCUGGAUCAGGAACAGAAGAAUCAGUCCAUGGUUGCUCUCCUCCAUCCAGGAACUCAUCCACACUGAACCUCCAGAAAAAGAUAACCAUCAGUAACAGAUGGGUAACAGAGAAACAAAUUUAAUUCCUCAGUCCACAUCGACUUUUCAAAAACUAAACCAGCCUCAUGAUUUCUGCAGAUUUUUUCCUAAACCAAGUGUUAAUUUUUCUAGGUGUUUCUCUUCAGCAUUUUUUUGUUUUUUUUAAUUUCAUAUCCAUUGAUUUGUUGCAAGAUAAUUCCAUUAGUCGAAGUAACUGUGAGUGAUAUUCCACCCAAACACGCUCAUCUCUUCCCCAAAAAAAACUUCACUGACUGUGAAACAAAUCUUUUCUUCGCUUUGCUCCAACCCCGAUUCCAAAAAAGUUGGGACAAAGUACGAAUUGUAAAUAAAAACAGAAUGCAAUAAUUUACAAAUCUCAAAAACUGAUAUUGUAUCCACAAUAGAACAUAGACAACAUAUCAAAUGUCGAAAGUGAGACAUUUUGAAAUUUCAUGCCAAAUAUUGGCUCAUUUGAAAUUUCAUGACAGCAACACAUCUCAAAAAAGUUGGGACAGGGGCAAUAAGAGGCUGGAAAAGUUAAAGGUGCAAAAAAGGAACAGCUGGAGGACCAAACUGCAACUCAUUAGGUCAAUUGGCAAUAGGUCAUUAACAUGACUGGGUAUAAAAAGAGCAUCUUGGAGCGGCUCUCAGAAGUAAAGAUGGGAAGAGGAUCACCAAUCCCCCUAAUUCUGCGCCGACAAAUAGUGGAGCAAUAUCAGAAAGGAGUUCGACAGUGUAAAAUUGCAAAGAGUUUGAACAUAUCAUCAUCUA